GACGAACGCUGGCGGCGUGCUUAACACAUGCAAGUCGAGCGGUAAGGCUCCUUCGGGAGUACACGAGCGGCGAACGGGUGAGUAACACGUGAGCAACCUGCCCUUCUCAUCGGAAUAAGCGUUGGAAACGACGUCUAAUGCCGAAUAUGACCUCCUUUCGCAUGAUCGGAGGUGGAAAGCUCCGGCGGAGAAGGAUGGGCUCGCGGCCUAUCAGCUUGUUGGUGGGGUAACGGCCCACCAAGGCGACGACGGGUAGCCGGCCUGAGAGGGUGACCGGCCACACUGGGACUGAGACACGGCCCAGACUCCUACGGGAGGCAGCAGUGGGGAAUAUUGGACAAUGGGCGAAAGCCUGAUCCAGCAACGCCGCGUGAGGGAUGACGGCCUUCGGGUUGUAAACCUCUUUCAGCAGGGACGAAGGAUUCGUUUGACGGUACCGGUAGAAGAAGCACCGGCUAACUACGUGCCAGCCGCCGCAGUAA
rnacentral:rRNA from 1 species